rnacentral:rRNA from 1 species
ACCUCGGGAAACUGAGGAUAAUAUUUCAUAGUUGAAAAGGCUUGGAAAAGUUCUUCAAUAAAAGGGAUAAGAAAAAUGGUUCUUAUUCGCUAUAGGAUAGGAUCGUGGUCGAUUAUGGUUGUUGGUGAGGUAAUGGCUCACCAAGCCGAUAAUCGAUAGGGGCCGUGAGAGCGGGAGCCCCGAGAUGGGUACUGAGACAACGACCCAGGUCUUACGAGACGCAGCAGGCGCGAAACCUCCGCAAUACACGAAAGUGUGACGGGGUUACCCAAAGUGUUCAAUUUUGAACUGUGGUAGGUGAGUAAUGUCCCCUACUAGAAAGGAGAGGGCAAGGCUGGUGCCAGCCGCCGCGGUAAAACCAGCUCUUCAAGUGGUCGGGAAAAUUAUUGGGCUUAAAGUGUCCGUAGCCGGUUUAGUAAGUUCCUGGUAAAAUCGGGUAGCUUAACUAUCUGUAUGCUAGGAAUACUGCUAUACUAUAGGGCGGGAGAGGUCUGAGGUACUACAGGGGUAGGGGUGAAAUCUUAUAAUCCUUGUAGGACCACCAGUGGCGAAGGCGUCAGACUGGAACGUGCCUGACGGUGAGGGACGAAAGCCAGGGGAGCGAACCGGAUUAGAUACCCGGGUAGUCCUGGCCGUAAACGAUGCAUACUAGGUGAUGGCAUGGCCAUGAGCCGUGUCAGUGCCGUAGGGAAACCGUUAAGUGCGCCGC